rnacentral:rRNA from 1 species
AUGUCUGACUUGGACUUGGUUGCUUACAUAAACGAGGAGAACAAAAGAAGAAAGAGGAGGCGAAUAGUUUUGACCAAACUAUACUUUGAAUCGUUUCUUCUUGGGAUAGCAUAUCUUAGUACGCAGAGGGCACCAAGGGAUUUAGGAAGCUUUAUUGACGAUGAGGAAAAAAACAUUCAUCGGAAGUAUUUGCUAAAAGGAUUGUAUGAUGGGGCAGAAGUAACAUGCUAUGAUCGGCUACGUUUAACUAAAAGAAACUUCCAUGACUUAUGCACCAUGUUGCGUGAGAGAGCUGGUCUUUGUGACAGUGUCUAUGUUUCCGUGGAAGAAAACGUGGCAAUGUUCUUGUUGGUAGUUGGCCAUGGUAUCAAAAUGAGGAUUCUGGGUGGCACUUACAAGCGCUCCUUAUGGACUAUUAGUACACACUUUGACGAUGUAUUAAAAGCGAUUCUAUCUCUAACCGGGGAGUUCAUUAAGCUUCCCGGUCCUUCUACUCAGCCACCUGAUGAUUACAAAUGGAAGUAGUUUGGUAAUGCACUUGGAGCGCUCGAUGGGUGUCAUGUUGAUAUUUGUGUACCUGUGUGUGACCAAGGGAGAUAUAGGAACAGGAAGCAAGCUAUCACCACUAACUUGCUUGGUGUGGUUGAUUGGAAUAUGAAAUUUAUGUAUGUCUUGCCUGGCUGGGAGGGUUCAGCUUCUGACUCAAGAGUCUUGCGUGAUGCAAUGAGGUUGAGCCGCCAAGAUGCAUUUGUCGUACCACAUGGUAUGACACUUUCUCUUGGUAAUUCAUUUCUCCUAUGUAAUUGA